CCUACGGGAGGCUGCAGUGGGGAAUAUUGGACAAUGGGCGAAAGCCUGAUCCAGCCAUGCCGCGUGUGUGAAGAAGGCCUUCGGGUUGUAAAGCACUUUCAGUGGGGAAGAAAGCCUUGGGGCUAAUACCCUCGAGGAAGGACAUCACCCACAGAAGAAGCACCGGCUAACUCCGUGCCAGCAGCCGCGGUAAUACGGAGGGUGCGAGCGUUAAUCGGAAUUACUGGGCGUAAAGCGCGCGUAGGCGGUCUGAUAAGCCGGUUGUGAAAGCCCCGGGCGCAACCUGGGAACGGCAUCCGGAACUGUCAGGCUAGAGUGCAGGAGAGGAAGGUAGAAUUCCCGGUGUAGCGGUGAAAUGCGUAGAGAUCGGGAGGAAUACCAGUGGCGAAGGCGGCCUUCUGGACUGACACUGACGCUGAGGUGCGAAAGCGUGGGUAGCAAACAGGAUUAGAUACCCCAGUAGUC
rnacentral:rRNA from 1 species